rnacentral:rRNA from 1 species
CCCGCAACGAGCGCAACCCCUAUUGCCAGUUGCUACCAGGUAAUGCUGGGCACUCUGGUGAGACUGCCCCGGUUAACGGGGAGGAAGGUGGGGACGACGUCAAGUCAUCAUGGCCCUUACGCCUAGGGCUACACACGUACUACAAUGGCGCAUACAAAGGGCAGCGAUACCGCGAGGUGGAGCCAAUCCCAAAAAGUGCGUCCCAGUCCGGAUUGCAGUCUGCAACUCGACUGCAUGAAGUUGGAAUCGCUAGUAAUUCGAGAUCAGCAUGCUCGGGUGAAUGCGUUCCCGGGCCUU